rnacentral:rRNA from 1 species
ACUCCUACGGGAGGCAGCAGUGAGGAAUAUUGCGCAAUGGGCGAAAGCCUGACGCAGCCACGCCGCGUGCCGGAAGAAGGUUCUUUGAAUCGUAAACGGCUUUUGUCGGGGAAGAAUGGCCUGGAUUCGUCCGGGUUUGACGGUACCCGUUGAAUAAGCACCGGCUAACUCCGUGCCAGCAGCCGCGGUAAUACGGAGGGUGCAAGCGUUGUCCGGAAUCAUUGGGUGUAAAGGGUGCGUAGGCGGAAUCUUAAGUCUGUGGUGAAAUCUUACCGCUCAACGGUAAACGUGCCAUGGAAACUGGGAUUCUUGAGUGUGACAGAGGCAGGUGGAAUUCGUAGUGUAGCGGUGAAAUGCAUAGAUAUUACGAAGAACACCAGUGGCGAAGGCGGCCUGCUGGGUCACAACUGACGCUGAGGCACGAGAGCGUGGGGAGCGAACAGGAUUAGAAACCCCAGUAGUCC